ACCUGGCUGGCUAAGUUGGUGGAGCAUACAGCUCUUAAUCUUGGGGUUGUGGGUUUGAGUCCCACGUUGGGUG
rnacentral:tRNA from 1 species